rnacentral:lncRNA from 10 species
UAAUAAACCCCACUUGCUCAACCAUAGAUAAGUUUGUUCCUGGAGAUCGCUGACUGGAGGGCAUUGACAAAGCCCACUUAUGAAGUUAAUUCUCUCCCUCUGCAGAAGAGCAGAAAAGUUAUGUAAAAUGAGCUGCUGAGAUGUGACAGUGUUCAAAGAUGUUUUAUUGUAUAUGAUGUGUAAGAUCAGCGAUUGUUAAUAAUUCACAAACGAGAGAAAAAAAGGCUACGUCAGCAUAUUAACAGCUUCACUGGCUUUGCAGGACUAUUAUAGGUCAAGAGUGAAGAAAACUGGCCAGGCAUGGUGGCUCAUGCCUGUAAUCUCCGCACUUUAUGGGGUGAGGUGGGAGGAUUGCUUGAGCUCAGGAGUUCAAGACCAGCCUGGGCAAUACGGCAAGACCCUGUCUCUAUCUUGCUUUAAAAACAUUUUUAAAAAAAAGAGUGAAGAAAACUAAUAUAGAAGAGUAGACAAUCUAUACUUUGCCAGACAUCAAAAACCCAACUACUACUGGGUGGAACAGAGAGAGUAAGACAGCGGAAAAGAGGCAGGAAGUGUUAGGGAACAUCCUUCUUCAAUAAUUCAAUAUCCAGCCAGGUGCAGUGGCUCACGCCUGUAAUCCUAACACUUUGAGGGGCCAACACAGGCA